rnacentral:rRNA from 1 species
AUUGAACGCUGGCGGCAUGCUUUACACAUGCAAGUCGAACGGCAGCGCGGGCUUCGGCCUGGCGGCGAGUGGCGAACGGGUGAGUAAUGCAUCGGAACGUGCCCAGGAGUGGGGGAUAGCCCGGCGAAAGCCGGAUUAAUACCGCAUACGACCUGAGGGUGAAAGCGGGGGACCGAAAGGCCUCGCGCUAUUGGAGCGGCCGAUGUCGGAUUAGCUAGUUGGUGGGGUAAAGGCUUACCAAGGCGACGAUCCGUAGCUGGUCUGAGAGGACGACCAGCCACACUGGGACUGAGACACGGCCCAGACUCCUACGGGAGGCAGCAGUGGGGAAUUUUGGACAAAGGGGGCAACCCUGAUCCAGCCAUGCCGCGUGCGGGAAGAAGGCCUUCGGGUUGUAAACCGCUUUUGUUCGGGAAGAAAUCCUCUGGGCUAAUACCCCGGGGGGAUGACGGUACCGGAAGAAUAAGCACCGGCUAACUACGUG